GAAAUGCGAUAAGUAAUGUGAAUUGCAGAAUUCAGUGAAUCAUCGAAUCUUUGAACGCACAUUGCGCUCCUUGGUAUUCCUUGGAGCAUGCCUGUUUGAGUAUCAUGAAAUCUUCAAAGUAAAUCUUUUGUUAACUCAAUUGGUUUCUACUUUGGUAUUGGAGGUCUUUGCAGCUUCACACCUGCUCCUCUUUGUUCAUUAGCUGGAUCUCAGUGUUAUGCUUGGUUCCACUCGGCGUGAUAAGUUAUCUAUCGCUGAGGACACUGUAAAAGGUGGCCAAGGUAAAUGCGGAUGAACCGCUUCUAAUAGUCCAUUGACUUGGACAAUACUUUUAUGAUCUGAUCUCAAAUCAGGUAGGACUACCCGCUGAACUUAAGC
rnacentral:misc_RNA from 1 species